CUGAAAUGCUCCGAUCGGAUGUACGAGUUCUCUCCGGUGGUGUUUACAGCUGUGGGUGAAACGCGAAAACAGCUCUGGGCUAACCUUACCGUAUGCAAUUGUAGAUUAAGUACAGCACGCCAUAAUCGGUGCACACGCUCCUGCACCGGUAAUCACCUGCAUCUAGACCAACGAUCACACAGUGCACCUCAACAGCUUCGCAGCAGUGGCUCUUUCCCUUCCCUGGAUCUCCAUUCACCAGUGUACAGAAUAAUGCAAACACCAUUUGAAAGAGGACUUUGGGACACCUAAGUCAUUUGGGAUUGCAGGCACCAAAAGAGACAGUGUUCAAGGCAAUAUGAGUGACUUAACAGAGUUUGAAAGAUGCCAAAUAGUUGCUGCGCGACUAUCAGGUGCAUCUGUCACAAAAACGGCACAGCUGUUUAAUGUAGCCAGAGGAACAGUCUCCAGGGUCAUGACGGUAUACGUGAAACAUGGACGGACAGCAUCAGCAAAGAAAAACAGCGGGCGCAAGUCAAAGCUCACCGAAAAGGACAGACAGACACUUCUCAGGAUAGUUGAUGAACACCCUGAGUUUACAGCCUUAAAAAUAACCACAGAAUUGAAUGGACACCUAUCUCAUGCCGUCUCAGUAAAAACUAUUCGGCGCGAGCUUCACAAAGCCGGUAUUUUUAGGGGAGCAGCCACUCGGAAAGCAGAGACCAAGGCUGACGCACACAAGCUAGAUGGAAAGAACACUAAACCUGAACCUGGCAAAGAGUGUGACACACAAAAGCCUGUUGAAGAGAGCACAAGACCUGAGAUGAAAACAAAUGGCACACAAAAACCUACCGAAGACAAAACAAUAUCUGGACCCCAGGCCAAUGUCGAAGAAUACAACACAGAAACAUCGGAAGAGAGGAUACAACCUAAACCUAAAGUCAGUGUAGAAGAGUACAGCACACACAAGCCUGGUGAAGAGAGCACAGGACCUGGAUCCCAGACAAGUGAAAAGGACUAACGUCGUCUGAUGUGUUGUAUUUCAGCCUUCCAACAUCCACAUUGCUCAUAUUAAGGGAAAACAACAGAAUGUCACUAACUGCCCAUGGAUCUGUAAUAAUGUUUCAGUUUUUAGAUUUUAUUAUUUAUUUUGCAUGAAUGCAUCGUGGUGCAAUAUUCAGGCUUUUCCCAAGAUUCUUCAUUUUUCCUGAUUUACAAGCAAACAAAACGUCAAUGUAGACUGUUGAGAAUUGGCCUAAAAAAUUUCCAUACUGGGGAUGUUUAUUAUAUUGUUCAAAAAAAUAAAAACUCUAUACGGAUAAUGACUGGUUUGUUCCUAACAUGUAGACCAAUGCCAUGCAGAGAUAAUAUCUGCUGUUUCCAUCGUAUCUGAUAGUGUUGUACUGUAAAGCCUUUUUGAUAAGGUGUGAAACCAAGCAGCAACUUCAAUCCUGUAAAAUAUAGUUCCUCUACUGUCUCAAAAAGUCAUACUUUAUUGAAGUCACUGUCAAACUCCCCAGUUUUAUUUGUUAAAUAUGAAGUUAUUUUUUUUAUUCCACAAGAUGUUCGGUUCUCAGGAGUUGAUGUGUGUGUCUUCUGACAUGUCUUGGUUGUGAUUUUGGUGUUUAGACAGGUUUUUCAGGCUAUCCUGCUUAACUGCAGUGGUUGCUUUUUGCUCAUCCCAUCUCAGCUUCACUUUGGCUCUACCUAAACUUAAAAGCCAAACUUUCAAUAUGUCCCUCAAGCAACCUAUGGGAUGGUGCAGAUAAAACACUUUCUUCUACUUUUAUAAAAUGUUAAAUUAUACAAGAAAGUGACACGUUCGGGACAUUAACCAGUAUUAUUUAAUUUUUGUUGCAAAUGUAUGGAGUGAUCAUUGAUGACCCCACCAUAAGGUAUUAAAUCUGAAUCAUCACAUCCCUA